UGUCAGUGUAAUUAUAUAGCGGUAAUUUACUUUUAUCAUUUUGUUGGUCGUCAUGACGUAUCUAUAUAAUCUAAUAACAAGAAAGUUACUUAAAUACGACAUUUAUUAUUAAUGAUUGUUUUACUUAAUAUGAGACAAGGUAACCUAAAAUAUAUUAUUUUUCAUGAAAGAAAAGAUUAGAUGUAUGUAAUUGACGUAAAUCUACUUUAUUCUACGAAAAAGGCCUCCGCAGGUACACUGCGUCAAAAAAACAUUCAUUAGAUUUUACGGAUAUUUGAAAUUUUUUUGACGUCUUUUUAUUUUAUUAUUAUUAAUUCUAUCGCAGUUAAGGUGGGGUUAUGUACCGUUAAAUACUGGCCAAAAUUCUGUUUUCUCAUCAGAAGUUUCAAUUGUCACAAUACUGAACAUAUCAGUCGCUAUAGUAUAAAUAAUUGAGUAAGUAAUACGUCAUUUAAUUUUGAAUUUAAAUUUAGUAAAUUGGUUUUCCCAUAAUGAGUAUUAUUAUAAUAUUUAUAUUUAUAUUUAUAUUUAUAUAUAUAAUGAAUAUAUAUCGCAUACCUCGAACGCGAACCGUAGUACUCUAAUGUCACCAAAUCGACUUUCAAUAUUACAUUUUGUGAAGUAAACUAAAAGCGAUUAUUUUUCCCGCAAAAAUGAAAUUUAAAUUGAGACGACAAAUAAAAAUUAAUUAUUAUUAUUAUUUUACUAAUAAUAACAAUUUUCUAAUGAUAAAUGUAAUUUUUAGUGUAAUAACUUUUUAAAUUACAUUAUACGGUUGCCCAAUUUCAAAACACAGUAACUGACAAAAAAAAAGUUUUUGAAAUAUGCAUUGAAUCAAGUUCAUGAGACCCCAUUGGAACUAAAAAUACCAAAAAAUCGAUUUUGAAAAAUUUGUCAGUUACUGUGUUUUGAAAUUGGGCAGCCGUAUAUCAUGAAAGACUUUUUACUCCACCGUCCAUCUUACGGUUUUUAAUAAAAUUAAUUAUUAUUAUUAUUAUUAUUAUUAUUAUUAUUAUUAUUAUCAUUAUUAUUAUACAUUAUGAUUACAUCUUUUAGACUGCAUAUAGUAGAGCAUUUAAAGAUUCAAAUAAAUAAAAUUAAUAUUAAUAAAUUUAAUUUAAUUAUUAGCUUCUUCGUUAUUUUUAUUUUUAUUAUUUUAUUAUUUAUUUAACUAUUAUUUUGGUAGCUAAAUACGAAUCACCGGUAUCAGGCAGUUAAAAAAAAAGUUCGUGUUGAUUAAUUGAAUACAAUUUUUUUAUAACUUCAAACUAAAUACGCAGUUCGGUAAUUAAUUAUUCAAACAUAUUACAUGAGCGUUUGAGGUGUGUAUUUUUGUAUGCUCUAAAUAUUUUCAUUUAUUAUAUAUAAUUAAUAUAUAAAACAAUUAAGACAGUAGAUUAAAAUGUUAUAUGAAAAAAUUGGUUUCAGAUAAAAAUUUAAGAAUUGUACUAAAAAUUUUGUUUAAAUUAUAUCUUAAACUGCAUAAUUUACGGCUGAAAAUUAUAUUUAAUAAAAUUAUUAUUUUAAACUGUAACUAUUAAAAAAUUUUUUCAAUUAAAUCCAGUUUUCUAUUUAAAAUACUGCGGUAGUAUACGAAAACAAUAUUUUUCCUAGAUUUAUUUUUGUGUGGAAAUUUCAGUAAUUACUUUUUUAUUUUACUUGACUAUUAAGUUAAUAAUAAUUUAUUAUUUUUUUAAAUUGAUAUACAAUUUAAAUCAACAACCAACCAAAAUGUCUAAGAUACUGUUUGCAUUUAUUUUCAUGGUAGUCGUUGUUUCCAUGAUGGAAACCAGUGCUAAAGAAUGCAGAUUAUGGCUCGGCGGGGAAUGUGUGGAGAAGUGUGGCCAUUUACAUUUAAAGCGUGCGCAGGGGUAAAAAUUGCCGAUAAUAUAGCAUUGAUGUCGUAAUUCGUAGCUGCUAUACUGUGUAACUAAUUGCGAUUUCGUUCAACAAUUAAACAAAUCCAUUUUAUGUAAAAAUUAAAUUAAAUUAUUGUAAAACCAUAUCAAUAUACAAUUAGUGUUUUGUUUUUUGAAUGAAAUAUUAAAUUUUUCUAAUAUUCA